AGGACACCCAGCCAUAGAAAAGACCUGCGGAUGCCCCUGGAGAGGCACAGGAAGGACUGGGUGAAGGUCUCAAGCAGACAGCAGAUUCCUGAGAUCCCACCCUGAACAUGGACUUGCGAUUCUGUGAGAUGAUGUCACAACCUAAACAGAAAGAGAAGAGAGAGAGAGCUGAACAUGGACGUUCACAGUCUCUGCUGUCUGGCUGCAGAAACCCCGUGUAUCGCUACCUCGCGCUCCCGCUGCUCCCGUGAUACACUGCAUCCCGUCAUGCCAUGAACCUAUACAAUCCCUUCUUUCCCUAAGUUGUCUCUGCCUGCUAUUUGCCACAUCAGUGAAAAAUGAAAGUACAUAGAAAACGCAGUAUUGAGGCGCAGCGAUGUCACUGCGAGCAACCUGGCCACGUGAUCAUAGCUUUGUCACCGCGAGCAACCUGGCCGCAUGAUCAUAGCUGUCACCGAGCAUCCUAGCCACGUGAUCACAGCUUUGUCACCAUGAGCAUCCUGGUCGCGCGACCAUAGUUUUAGAACUGAUUUGGGGCGAAUACGGAAACAGCCUAGAGCCAUAAGCCACAAGAGCCCUAGAAUUCUGUAAGCAAGAGCUCAGUGGCUGUCCGGGUGGAAGUUUGGUAGAAGACAAUAAUGAGAAAUCAGUAGAGUGUAUGGCUUUUCAGACAGGGUACAGCAUGAGGCUUCAGAGAGGAAGAGGAGGAG
rnacentral:lncRNA from 1 species